GGCGAUCUUUGACUCCACCAAUUUUGAAUUUGGCUGUACUAAUUAUGUAGUCUUUGACUCUAACAUUUCUCUAAUCCCUGCAAUUCGGCUGUACCAAUACUUCAUCAAUUUCGGGCGGCGAUUUCACAGUUGACGCCAUCCAAUUUCGAUGCAAAUCUUUGUUGUUGUGGACGCGCCGCCGCCGCCGCCGCCACCUUUCCCGCCGCCUCGUCCAGUCUCUCAGGUUGCCCAGAACUUGCAAGACCUUGAGUUCUACAAAUCACCUUUCACAUCACUCUGAAAUUUGAACAAUAAUUAGCUUGUUAAAAAAUCUAAUGAGAUGCAUACCAUAUUGAGAAAAGUUUCUGUAUUUUCUGCCUGAAAUUUUGUCUAUCCAGAAUCUUAAUAGGUAGAAAGCUUCCACGUUAUGAAUAGGUAGAGUCCAAUUGUAGGGAGUUCCAAGGAAGAAGAAGGGAGAUUCCGUGUGGGUGGGUUGGAAGGGGAGCGUGGGAAGUUAGG
rnacentral:lncRNA from 1 species